rnacentral:rRNA from 1 species
UAGUGGCGAACGGGUGAGUAACACGUGGGCAAUCUGCCCUUCACUCUGGGACAAGCCCUGGAAACGGGGUCUAAUACCGGAUAAUACCUGCCUGGGCAUCUGGGUGGGUUGAAAGCUCCGGCGGUGAAGGAUGAGCCCGCGGCCUAUCAGCUUGUUGGUGAGGUAGUGGCUCACCAAGGCGACGACGGGUAGCCGGCCUGAGAGGGCGACCGGCCACACUGGGACUGAGACACGGCCCAGACUCCUACGGGAGGCAGCAGUGGGGAAUAUUGCACAAUGGGCGAAAGCCUGAUGCAGCGACGCCGCGUGAGGGAUGACGGCCUUCGGGUUGUAAACCUCUUUCAGCAGGGAAGAAGCGAAAGUGACGGUACCUGCAGAAGAAGCGCCGGCUAACUACGUGCCAGCAGCCGNGGUAAUACGUAGGGCGCAAGCGUUGUCCGGAAUUAUUGGGCGUAAAGAGCUCGUAGGCGGCUUGUCACGUCGGGUGUGAAAGCCCGGGGCUUAACCCCGGGUCUGCAUUCGAUACGGGCUAGCUAGAGUGUGGUAGGGGAGAUCGNAUUNCU